UCCCCAAACACUGACAUACAAAAACUAAAUACAAUAAAAUAGGUGCAUUUCAGUAAAACUUAAAGGAAAAAAAAUUAAAAUUCUCCUCUCCACCCUACCCAUCCACACCUCUUCUUCUUCAUGCCCUCACAUCUUUCUUCAUUGCGACCUUAGCAAAAAUAGUGAAGAAGAAUUCACACCACCAUUGAUUUGUUCAUACCAAUCAAAACUUCAAUGAAGAAGAACCAUUGCUUCCUAUUAAUUUCAUUAUCACCAUAAAAAAUAAUAAUUUUAUCAUCCGAUGUUGUGAUCUCUGCCAUACCUUAAAUACUUAAUUCAUCAUCAUCAAUUUCGUCACCGACGGGAACCACCAUCAAUUGAAUCUCCGGCUACCAUCAAUUUCAUCACUAAUGUUUGAAUUUGACAUUGAAAUUUUGUGAAGAAUUUUAUAAAUUGAAUAAAGUUAAAAGGGAAAGACAGGAUUUACAGUUUAUGCAACUUUGUAAGGGUCAACAACAACAAAGUUGUCCAUGACGUAGGAUUUGGGUAGUGGUGAUGGUGCGAUUUUGAUGGUGAAUUUGUGAUGUGUGUUAAAUUUGUGAUAGUUCUUUGUAAUUUUGAAUGAUGUUAAUGUUGAUUUUGUGAUUUCGAUGAUGAUUUUAGUUGUGAUUGUUGAAUAUAUCAUGGUUAUUUGUAAUAUUUUUCUGAUGGAAGUGGUUGUGGCUUGAUUCCCAUGGGAAAAUCUAUGGUGGAUUGUUAAAAAUUAUUGUGACAGAGAUGUGGAUUUGGUGGCUAUGAUGGCAAUGGUGGUGGUUUAAUGGUGGGUUGGUGGUGUUUUGUGAAGACGAAGUUAUUG
rnacentral:lncRNA from 1 species